CCCGUCCCAGGGUCGCACCUGGGGAGUUUCCAAUAACUCUGCCAGUCUCGGCUAUGGGAGGGAGAGUCAAGCGGAGGCCUGUCCAUUCCAUUCCUAGCUUGGCCAGUGGCUAGCGGGUGGAAGGCCGUCCGCUACAAGU